AACGAACGCUGGCGGCGUGGAUAAGACAUGCAAGUCGAACGAUUAUCAUCGGGUAGCAAUAUUCGGUGGUGAGAGUGGCGCAAGGGUGCGUAACACGUGGGUAAUUUGCCAUGAAGUCUGGAAUAACUUGCUGAAAGGCGAGCUAAUACCGGAUGUGAUUUUUGGAAGGCAUCUUCUGAAACUCAAAGUCGGGGACCGCAAGGCCUGACGCUUCUUGAUAAGCCCGCGGCCUAUCAGCUAGUUGGUGAGGUAACGGCUCACCAAGGCUAAGACGGGUAGCUGGUCUGAGAGGACGACCAGCCUCACUGGAACUGAGACACGGUCCAGACACCUACGGGUGGCAG
rnacentral:rRNA from 1 species